GUGGGAAGCUAUUCAGUGCCUGCAGUUCAGAUGUCCCUCCGCCCACUGUCAUGAUGCUCCUGCCUUGAAGCUGCUCCACUGGGAGCCUCCUGCUUGCUCUGCAGGCUUCGGUCCAUCAAACAGGAGAUCCUCUGCUAUAUUCUGGACAUCUCUGGGGAAAACCGGACAACUAUAACUAUUACCACUGCUGUAAAGCCGCAAAUCUCUGUGGUAUCUGCAGAAUCAAGAGCUUAAAUGCUUUGCUGAAUUGAAGCCAAAUUGUAUACUCUAUGAUGAUGUCUCUGAAAACAAUGUCCGGAACCUGCAUGAAGAAGAAGAAUUCUUCUGCCGACUCAAGCUGGCAACCAGACUAGAGAGGGCCUAUUAGGUCCAACUUCAGUCUGUGGAGAAGAGGCUGCGCUGAGGCGGACAGAUCAUCAUGCAGUUCUUCUCAAUUACGUUGUGAUUGCAACUUCUUGGGUAGCUAUUUAGACUACAAGAUCAGCAUCAAGGGUCACAUUUUCAACAAUGGUGGAGCCAAGUUUCGCAACCAGAGAGCAAUGGACCAUUGGUGAUGGACUGGAAAGUGAACCCACCAGACACAUACUUACAGAGAGGGCACCUUUUUUGCAGGCGUAGGCCUGGCAUUGCAACCUGGCACGCAGAGUCAAAGUUCCAUUCAGGUUUGCCCCAGCACUCCUCUGGACAGACAGAGGUCAGGCCAAAUGUCAGAGAGUACAGUACACCAAUGUUGCAGUACACCAAUGAGAAGGGAGCUGGGCUCAGCCCCACUAGGCAGGAGCCACCAAUGCCAGGUUUUUCUUGGAUCAGACUGCAUAUUCCAUCUCACAUACUGACGUCUCCAGAUGUGAUUCAGGAAAACUGAGAAGUCACAUAUAUUUUCCAGUUAAAAUAAUUUUAAAUAUACUCUUAUUUUUGAUUACAGGCCUUUUCCUUCGGCAAUAAAACUGAUGUCUCAAUGCUCCUUGUUCACUUAUUUUUUAUUACUACUAGAAUAGUAAUUACUCUCAUAGCUGAUAAGUCUCAAAUAGUAACAGAUGAAUUUACCCAGCAAAUAUUUAUUGAGUACAGGACCAGAUUUUCAGACAUAUUUAGGUGCCUUACCAAAGUGAGGAGUUAGGCAUCUCAUGGGAUUUUCAAAAGCACGCAAGCAGGUUUGGUUUCCAGCUGCAUCUUCAGUUGCUGCAGAAAAUCUGGCUCGCACUGCUUAAUACCAUGCAUGCUCAUUAGGAAUACCCACAUUUGUAAAGCAAAAGUACAUUUUUGCAGGAUCAGCCCCACAGUGAGAAGCUGGGAAGGAGACAUUGAUAUGAUUGAGAUUAAUAAAGUGUUUAAAUA